CUUGACCUGGAAGAACAAUAAAAGCUUCCAGGUCAGGUUGGAACUUUGCCAAGGCAACAACAGACCUCCAUGUGCCUUCCCUUGGUGCCCAAUUACAUCCCAGCCAUUACAUGCAAAUUUGGCCCCAGGAAAAGCUGUUCUGUGACCUGUAUAUAUUAAAGUCGGUGUCGUGGGCAUCAGGGAGAGUGAGAUACAUGCUGUUGUGUUUCUUGAUUGGCGGCGCCUCGGCCAGGCUGCUUUCCUUCUCCAGAUCGCUGCAAGGGAAUGACAACGGCCACAAGGUGACGGAUGGUUGUUUAUGGGAAGCGCAGGAGAAACAGGCCUACCAAGCAGCACGUUGAUAGGUUUAGAGAGAAAUGAGCCACAUUUAUCUAUUUCCGGAACAGUAAUUUUCAUGACGGCGUGCAUCCAUGUUUUUUCCCUUCGAUGUUGCAGCUAUCUUUUAUAUCUUGUUAAUAACUUUUUCUUUUUUUCUGUGGCUUACAUAUUCUCAUUUCGAGGACUGCUGUUGUUAU